rnacentral:rRNA from 1 species
UACAGAGGUCUCGAGCGUUGUUCGGAUUCAUUGGGCGUAAAGGGCGCGUAGGCGGCGGGGUAAGUCUGGUGUGAAAUCUCGGAGCUCAACUCCGAAAUUGCACUGGAUACUGCUCUGCUAGAGGGCUGGAGAGGAGAUCGGAAUUUCACGGUGUAGCAGUGAAAUGCGUAGAUAUCGUGAGGAAGACCAGUGGCGAAGGCGGAUCUCUGGACAGCUCCUGACGCUGAGGCGCGAAGGCUAGGGGAGCAAACGGG